rnacentral:lncRNA from 1 species
UUGAAAAUGAUGAGCAGCUGCCUUCCUAGCCAAGGGGUGCGCGGAAGAGGAAAUGUUUGUCAAGAUUCCAAACUGGACGAUGAACAGGAGAGAUGGUUGCUUUCUGAUGAUCAGCAUUAAGUAACUUUCAGUCCUACAUGUGUAAUUUAUAGGCAUGGUUGCGCAUUGAUAGUUUUCCUGGUACCACUCCAUCUGUCAAUAAUUUGUGACAUCUGUAAUCUUAAAGAAACUACUGUUAUUUUGUUAUUUCAGAUAUAGAGAUAAAUUGAACACACAUGUGAGCAAGCAGUUUGGCCUGUACUAUUUUUGCUGUUGAAAGUUGAAAUCCG